rnacentral:rRNA from 1 species
UUGAACGCUGGCGGCAUGCUUUACCCAUGCAAGUCGAACGGCAGCGCGGGCUUCGGCCUGGCGGCGAGUGGCGAACGGGUGAGUAAUACAUCGGAACGUGCCCAGUAGUGGGGGAUAGCUCGGCGAAAGCCGGAUUAAUACCGCAUACGACCUGAGGGUGAAAGCGGGGGAUCUUCGGACCUCGCGCUAUUGGAGCGGCCGAUGGCAGAUUAGCUAGUUGGUGGGGUAAAGGCCUACCAAGGCGACGAUCUGUAGCUGGUCUGAGAGGACGACCAGCCACACUGGGACUGAGACACGGCCCAGACUCCUACGGGAGGCAGCAGUGGGGAAUUUUGGACAAUGGGCGAAAGCCUGAUCCAGCAAUGCCGCGUGUGUGAUGAAGGCCUUCGGGUUGUAAAGCACUUUUGGCGGGAACGAAAAGGACUGUGCCAAUACCACGGCUCGAUGACGGUACCCGCAGAAUAAGCACCGGCUAACUACGUG